GAUGAACGCUGGCGGCGUGCCUAAUACAUGCAAGUCGAGCGAACGGACGAGAAGCUUGCUUCUCUGAUGUUAGCGGCGGACGGGUGAGAAACACGUGGAUAACCUACCUAUAAGACUGGGAUAACUUCGGGAAACCGGAGCUAAUACCGGAUGAUAUUUUGAACCGCAUGGUUCAAAAGUGAAAGACGGUCUUGCUGUCACUUAUAGAUGGAUCCGCGCUGCAUUAGCUAGUUGGUAAGGUAACGGCUUACCAAGGCAACGAUGCAUAGCCGACCUGAGAGGGUGAUCGGCCACACGAGAACUGAGACACGGUCCAGACUCCUACGGGAGGCAGCAGUAGGGAAUCUUCCGCAAUGGGCGAAAGCCUGACGGAGCAACGCCGCGUGAGUGAUGAAGGUCUUCGGAUCGUAAAACUCUGUUAUUAGGGAAGAACAUAUGUGUAAGUAACUGUGCACAUCUUGACGGUACCUAAUCAGAAAGCCACGGCUAACUACGUG
rnacentral:rRNA from 1 species